UACGUAGGGGGCUAGCGUUGUCCGGAUUUAUUGGGCGUAAAGAGCGUGUAGGCGGCCAUGUAGGUCCGGUGUGAAAACUCGAGGCUUAACCUCGAGAUGUCAUCGGAAACCAUUUGGCUAGAGUCCGGAAGAGGAGAGUGGGAUUCCUGGUGUAGCGGUGAAAUGCGCAGAUAUCAGGAGGAACACCAAUAGCGAAGGCAGCUCGCUGGGACGGUAUUGACGCUAAGGCGCGAAAGCGUGGGGAGCAAACAGG
rnacentral:rRNA from 1 species